rfam:Actinobacteria bacterium OK074 ctg63, whole genome shotgun sequence.
CGAGCCGGGCGGACGGCCGCGUGGAGCCCCCUAGGGGUGCUUCCCGAGGAACGUCCGGGCUCCACAGGGCAGGGUGAUGGCUAACGGCCACCCGGGGUGACCCGCGGGACAGUGCCACAGAAAACAAACCGCCUGGCGCUUCGGCGCCGGGUAAGGGUGAAACGGUGGUGUAAGAGACCACCAGUGCCCAGGGCGACCUGGGCAGCUAGGUAAACCCCACCCGGAGCAAGGUCAAAAGGAAACACCUUGGUGUUUCUGCGCGGACGUCCGAGGGCUGCCCGCCCGAGUCCGCGGGUAGACCGCAGGAGGCCGAUGGCAACGUCGGUCCUAGAUGGAUGGUCGUCGCCCCGGGGACCGUGAGGGCCUUGGGGAACAGAACCCGGCGUAUGUCCCGACUCGUCUG